CCUACGGGAGGCAGCAGUGAGGAAUAUUGGUCAAUGGACGAGAGUCUGAACCAGCCAAGUAGCGUGAAGGAUGACUGCCCUAUGGGUUGUAAACUUCUUUUAUAUGGGAAUAAAAUGUUCCACGUGUGGGAUUUUGUAUGUACCAUAUGAAUAAGGAUCGGCUAACCCCGUGCCAGCAGCCGCGGUAAUACGGAGGAUCCGAGCGUUAUCCGGAUUUAUUGGGUUUAAAGGGAGCGUAGGUGGGUUGUUAAGUCAGUUGUGAAAGUUUGCGGCUCAACCGUAAAAUUGCAGUUGAAACUGGCAGUCUUGAGUACAGUAGAGGUGGGCGGAUUUCGUGGUGUAGCGGUGAAAUGCUUAGAUAUCACGAAGAACUCCGAUUGCGAAGGCAGUUCACUGGACUGCAACUGACACUGAGGCUCGAAAGUGUGGGUAUCAAACAGGAUUAGAUACCCUGGUAGUC
rnacentral:rRNA from 1 species